GGCCCUCCGGCUGAGCCCUGAUCUCUAUGGUUUCCGCGGCUCGCUAGAAGGAGUGUGGUCCACCGGAGGACUCCCUACAUUCUUCCUCCAUUACCUCACUGCCUCCGGUGGCUGCUGGGAUACCGGAGGACUCGGGUCCCGGCUCGACUCAGUCCUCCAGCCGCCCGGGGAAUACCUCUAGUUCUUCCCGGCCGCCGCCGCCGCCGCCGCCCCGCCGCUUCCUCCUCCGCCUGCCGGCCUCCUUCGCCCCGUCCCGUCCGCGCAGCGCGUCCGGCCCGCCCGCAGGCCAGCUUCUCUCGGGAGCCCCCACCCAGGCGCAUGGCUCCAUGAAGCAAGAGGAGGAGGCAGAGCGCGAGAGGUCCCGUCCGCCCCAGCCGCGUCUGGGCCAGGAUAAAAGCAAAACCAUAUUCCUGCUGCUGUCAGUUAUGAUGCACUGAGAAAACUUCAGAGACCUAAACUUUUUCCAGAGAAGAGAAGCUUUACUGGUGUUCCAGCCCUAAGAAACCUUUGUUCAAGAAAACGGCAGAUGCUCUGUUGAAUCCACUGGAGAUUGUUCUGAUACUAAGGACAAGUAUCAACCAUCUUUCCUGUGAAAAAUUCCCUCUCGUACUUUAGUUCUGUGGAUCCAAAAUUUAUAGCAUUCUUCUACCACCACAGGGGCUCAUAUGACAUUAACAGACAAGACACUUUUCAGAAAGACAGGCAACGUGUUGGACCUUCCGGAGCUUCUCAGAAGACAGAGGGUUUUCUUUUGAGGAUUUAAACCUCAGACACAGGGAGCUGACCUAUUCACCUUAGAAUCCUCUGGGGCACCCAUUACAGUGUCUGUACCAAGGAGGCAACAAAGAACGGCGGAACAGACUGGAGCAGAAGGACCACCCAGCAGAGCCAAGCCAAAUCACUGACCCUCAGAGGCCUGAUGUGAAUGCUUAUGGCUUCAGUCCAUUGGAUUCUGCAGUAAUCUGCCGAUCUACAGUAUUACCACAGUAAAUAACCGAUAGACCUGAAAACGAAUGCAUGCCUUGUGCCAAAAUUGCAGGAAACCUCACCAGGAGAAACAAUUUUAUAUGAGGGAAUGUACUCUCUCCUUUGCAUUUUCCCUCAAAUCUAUAUUUUUAGCCCCUCACUUGUCUCUACAGAGCCUCAGUUGCUUAAUCUAAUUGCUGACUGAACAUCUCCAGGAAACUGUGUGUACGUGUUUGUAUUCAUAGUAUAUUUAUUUAUUAUCUGUUUACUUCCAUGGGAUAUAGUCUCCAUAAGAGAGUAGUCAUCAUUGUAUUUGUUGAUGCUUAAUAAAUAAUCAUUGAAUGGGCAAAAAAAAAAAAAAAAAA
rnacentral:lncRNA from 1 species